ensembl:lncRNA
UUUAGCAUUCCUUCUUGGAGAAAUCCUGUACAGUGGAUACUACUGAGAAACUGAAUGAUGUUCCUAGAAAUUUCAGAGCCUCGAGUCCUGAUUAUAUCAUUCUUUUGCUCUGACAAUGGCCAAGCUGACUUUUAUUCAUGACCCUACUUGUACGUCUGUGUUUCAGAGAUCACGUGACUGAGAGAGAGAGCUUCAUUAUUAGCGAGUUGACAUUCAACGAGGCCAAGCUGACCUCUCCGUCUCCUACAAAAGGGCCUUACUGAAAGGGAG